UACGGGGGGAGCAAGCGUUGUUCGGAUUUACUGGGCGUAAAGGGCGCGUAGGCGGCCAGCACAAGUCAGUUGUGAAAUCUCCGAGCUUAACUCGGAAAGGUCAACUGAUACUGUGCGGCUAGAGUGCGGAAGGGGCACUGGAAUUCUUGGUGUAGCGGUGAAAUGCGUAGAUAUCAAGAGGAACACCUGCGGCGAAGGCGGGUUGCUGGGCCGACACUGACGCUGAGGCGCGAAAGCUAGGGGAGCGAACGGG
rnacentral:rRNA from 1 species